GGUGCCGGCGGUUUGGGGGAGUGUUGCUGAUGUUUAAUCUAAUUGGGUUUUAUUAGGGUAACGUAGUAGUAUUAGUGAUUAGUUAAAAGGAGUAUUUAUUACGCCCGUGACCAUCGAGUUCACAGCCCCAAUUCCUGGGGGCUGGUCUAUUUUAAUCGACCAUGCGGAAUCUGCCUGUCUUACUACUGGGCAUCUCGAGUGCAAUCGUCGCUGUCGUGCAAUGUGCACCCCAGAAAGCUAUCUCUGUUACAUUGGACUCUAAAUGGAGCAACACACCUCUUCACCUAGAAGCCAGUGAAUUCUUUGCCGAGGAAAGUAGUGACUACUUCUGGCGUUACGUGAAUGACUUUCAACAACUGGACCUUGCUGCAUUCUCUA
rnacentral:lncRNA from 1 species